rnacentral:sRNA from 1 species
GUACUCAAUCAGUCGAAUAAAAAAAUGAAACUCCUAUCUUUUGGACUUGUGGCUUUGGCCUUCGUUUUGGGUUAUGCCAAUGCUGAACCAUGCAAUUUGGGCGGUGGUGGCGGAAGUGGUAAUGGCAAAUAGGUCAUCAUUUGUAUCCCCCAAAAAAUUGAUAAAUGAUUUCAUGGUGUCACUGUUGAUAUUAAAUGUUUAACUUCAAAACGAUUAAAACAAAUAAAAAAUUUUUGAUGAA